GCCCCAUUAGCUCAGUUGGUAGAGCAAUUGUUUCGUAAAUAAUAGGUCGGCGGUUCGAAUCCGUCAUGGGGCACCA
rnacentral:tRNA from 1 species